rnacentral:rRNA from 1 species
CCUACGGUGUGCUGCAGUAGGGAAUCUUCCACAAUGGACGAAAGUCUGAUGGAGCAACGCCGCGUGAGUGAAGAAGGGUUUCGGCUCGUAAAGCUCUGUUGGUAGUGAAGAAAGAUAGAGGUAGUAACUGGCCUUUAUUUGACGGUAAUUACUUAGAAAGUCCCGGCUAACUACGUGCCAGCAGCCGCGGUAAUACGUAGGUGGCAAGCGUUGUCCGGAUUUAUUGGGCGUAAAGCGAGUGCAGGCGGUGCAAUAAGUCUGAUGUGAAAGCCUUCGGCUCAACCGGAGAAUUGCAUCAGAAACUGGUGAACUAGAGUGCAGAAGAGGAGAGUAGAACUCCAGGUGUAGCGGUGGAAUGCGUAGAGAUAUGGAAGAACACCAGUGGCGAAGGCGGCGCUCUGGUCUGCAACUGACGCUGAGGCUCGAAAGCAUGGGGAGCGAACAGGAUUAGAUACCCCGGUAGUC